rnacentral:rRNA from 1 species
GACGAACGCUGGCGGCGUGCUUAACACAUGCAAGUCGAGCGGAGCGGCGAACGGGUGAGUAACGCGUGAGUAACUGCCCCCCUCUCUGGGAUAACAGUUGGAAACGGCUGCUAAUCCCGGAUCGUGGGGGAUGACUCGGGUCAUAUCAGCUUGUUGGUGGGGUAGUGGCCUACCAAGGCGACGACGGGUAGCCGGCCUGAGAGGGCGACCGGCCACAUUGGGCUGGGAUACGGCCCGAACUCCAACGUGGAGCAGCGGUGGGGAAUAUUGCACAAUGGGGGAAACCCUGGUGCAGCAACGCCGCGUGCGGGAUGACGGCCUUCGGGUUGUAAACCGCUUUCAGCAAUGACGCGGUAGUGGCAGAGGAAGCACCGGCUAACUACGUGCCAGCCGCCGCGGUAAUC